rnacentral:misc_RNA from 1 species
CGCUCCUACCGAUUUUGAGUGAUCCGGUGAACCUUCUGGACUGUGGCCAGGCUCGACCUGGUUGUGGGAAGUUAAGUAAACCUUAUCACUUAGAGGAAGGAGAAGUCGUAACAAGGUUUCCGUAGGUGAACCUGCGGAAGGAUCAUUAACACAAUCUAAAAUCUCACCACACAGCGUUGUUCUUACGAACUCCGACUGGAUAAUAUACAUUUGCAUUUAGGUAGAGGGGAUGAAGAGCUUGAGGAACGAAGCCAGCAAUGGUGUUUUCUCCUCUUUCACUUCGUCUCUUUGAAAACAAAAAGACCUACCUAGAUGUGUUUCAUUUUUAUGAAACCCCAACCUUUUUGUCUUAGAUUACUAAGUCAAAAUAAAAUUAAACUAAGAAAAUUUUCAACGAUGGAUAUCCUGGUUCCCAUAACGAUGAAGAGCGCAGCAAAGUGCGAUAAGCAAUGCGAAUUGCAGAAUUCCGCGAAUCAUCAGAUCCUUGAACGCAACUGGCGCUAGGGGGCUCUCCUCCUAGCAUGUCUGUUUCAGUGUCUGAAAACAUCAUAAUAAACUUAAUGUGAUUGACAAAGGAGAGAAAGGUGAUAGUCUGAUAGAACUUCUAUCUUCUGUUUACUUAUUUCUCUUUCUAAGUCUCUCAUGAAAGAUGUGCAUGUGGGUCUUUGGACUCCUCAUCGGAUUUUGGUCACUGUCUCCAGUGAUUUCGAUCGAGGAGUGUUCUGAUGGAUAUGAAAGCUUGCUUUCAUGUUCUAGGGACUUAACUCAAUUACCCGAAAUUACAUGCAAGAAUCAUUUGGUAGUUUCAUUACUAUCUAAUCUUCAAACUCUGUAUCUGAAAUCAGGCAAGAUC